rnacentral:ncRNA from 1 species
CCAACAGCGAUGAUGAGGGAGAGUAAGUGGGCAGCCUCGCCAGCGAUCCGGGGACGGUGCAAGCCCGGAAAGGUCAACCAUCUGAACGCCACCUCGGAGUAAUGGGCUGAACCACGAGUAUGUCUAUUCGGAUUGGCCCCGUUAACGGCCUGCAACCUUUACAUGGGUUGCGUGAGUGGGUUUUUUAAGCCAACUGGGGUGGUACCGCGGGUAAAUCUCUCGUCCCUUGA